GACGAACGCUGGCGGCGUGCUUAACACAUGCAAGUCGAACGGAAAGGCCCUGCUUUUGUGGGGUGCUCGAGUGGCGAACGGGUGAGUAACACGUGAGUAACCUGCCCUUGACUUUGGGAUAACUUCAGGAAACUGGGGCUAAUACCGGAUAGGAGCUCCUGCUGCAUGGUGGGGGUUGGAACGAUUCGGCGGUUGGGGAUGGACUCGCGGCUUAUCAGCUUGUUGGUGAGGUAGUGGCUUACCAAGGCUUUGACGGGUAGCCCGCCUGAGAGGGUGAACGGCGACAUUGGGACUGAGGUACGGACCAGAAUGCAACGGGAGACAGCAGUGGGAAAAAUUGCACAAUGCGCGCAAGCCUGAUGCAGCAUCGCCGCGUGCGGGAUAACGGCCUUCGGGUUGGGAACCGCAUAAGCCUGAGACGAAGCGUUAGUGACGGUAAUAGGUGAAAAAGCACCGGCUAACUACGUG
rnacentral:rRNA from 1 species